ACUGGGAUAUACUGGGAGGGUCUGAGGGGCAUACUGGGAUAUACUGGGAGGGACUGGGAGGGAUGUACUGGUCCAUACUGGUCCAUACUGGUCUAUACUGGACCAUACUGGUCUAUACUGGUCCAUACUGGUUCAUACUGGUCCAUACUGGUCCAUACUGGUGUGGGAAGGGGUUGGACAAUGGGUUCUCCUGGGAUCUUCUAUUGGUUCCUAUGGGUCUCUAUUGACCCCUAUGGGUCCGUUGUGGCCCAUACUGGUCCCUAUUGGUCCAUACUGGUUUAUACUGGUCCAUAGUGGUCUAUACUGGUCCAUACUGGUCCAUACUGGUCUAUACUGGUCUAUACUGGUGUUUGAUAGGGGUGCAACAAUGGGCUCUCCUGGCAUCUUCUAUUGAUUCCUAUGGCUCUCUAUGGACCUCUAUGGGUCCCUAUUGGUCUAUACUGGUUUCUACUGGUCCAUACUGGUCUAUACUGGUCCAUACUGGUUUAUACUGGUCCAUACUGGUCCAUACUGGUGUUGGAAUGGGUUGGACAAUGGGUUCUCCUGGGAUCUUCUAUUGGUUCCUAUGGCUCUCUAUUGACCCCUAUGGGUCUCUAUUGGUCUAUACUGGUUUCUACUGGUCCAUACUGGUUUCUACUGGUCCAUACUGGUCUAUACUGGUCUAUACUGGUCCAUACUGGUGUGGGAAGGGGGUGGACAAUGGGCUCUCCUGGGAUCUUCUA
ensembl:lncRNA